rnacentral:misc_RNA from 1 species
GAUGAAGAACGUAGCGAAAUGCGAUAAGUAGUGUGAAUUGCAGAAUUCAGUGAAUCAUCGAAUCUUUGAACGCACAUUGCGGCCAUAGGUAUUCCUUUGGCCAUGCCUGUUCGAGCGUCAUUUACACCCUCAAGCCUAGCUUGGUGUUGGGCGUCUGUCCCGCCGUUCUCGCGCGCGGACUCGCCUCAAAGUCAUUGGCGGCGGUCGUGCCGGCCCCCUCGCGCAGCACAUUUGCGCUUCUCGGAGGCCCGGCGGAUCCGCGCUCCAGCAAGACCUUUCACGACUUGACCUCGGAUCAGGUAGGGAUACCCGCUGAACUUAAGCAUAUCAAAAGCGGAGGA